GCGGGUGUAGCUCAGCGGUAGAGCACUGCGUUGCCAACGCAGUUGUCGUGGGUCCAACUCCCAUCACCCGCUCCA
rnacentral:tRNA from 1 species